rnacentral:rRNA from 1 species
GACGAACGCUGGCGGCGUGCUUAACACAUGCAAGUCGAACGGAAAGGCCCUGCUUUUGUGGGGUGCUCGAGUGGCGAACGGGUGAGUAACACGUGAGUAACCUGCCCUUGACUUUGGGAUAACUUCAGGAAACUGGGGCUAAUACCGGAUAGGAGCUCCUGCUGCAUGGUGGGGGUUGGAAAGUUUCGGCGGUUGGGGAUGGACUCGCGGCUUAUCAGCUUGUUGGUGGGGUAGUGGCUUACCAAGGCUUUGACGGGUAGCCGGCCUGAGAGGGUGACCGGCCACAUUGGGACUGAGAUACGGCCCAGACUCCUACGGGAGGCAGCAGUGGGGAAUAUUGCACAAUGGGCGGAAGCCUGAUGCAGCAACGCCGCGUGCGGGAUGACGGCCUUCGGGUUGUAAACCGCUUUCGCCUGUGACGAAGCGUGAGUGACGGUAAUGGGUAAAGAAGCACCGGCUAACUACGUGCCAGCAGCCGCGGUGAUACGUAGGGUGCGAGCGUUGUCCGGAUUUAUUGGGCGUAAAGGGCUCGUAGGUGGUUGAUCGCGUCGGAAGUGUAAUCUUGGGGCUUAACCCUGAGCGUGCUUUCGAUACGGGUUGACUUGAGGAAGGUAGGGGAGAAUGGAAUCCCUGGUGGAGCGGUGGAAUGCGCAGAUAUCAGGAGGAACACCAGUGGCGAAGGCGGUUCUCUGGGCCUUUCCUGACGCUGAGGAGCGAAAGCGUGGGGAGCGAACAGGCUUAGAUACCCUGGUAGUCCACGCUGUAAACGGUGGGUACUAGGUGUGGGGUCCAUUCCACGGGUUCCGUGCCGUAGCUAACGCUUUAAGUACCCCGCCUGGGGAGUACGGCCGCAAGGCUAAAACUCAAAGGAAUUGACGGGGCCCCGCACAAGCGGCGGAGCAUGCGGAUUAAUUCGAUGCAACGCGUAGAACCUUACCUGGGUUUGACAUGGAUCGGGAGUGCUCAGAGAUGGGUGUGCCUCUUUUGGGGUCGGUUCACAGGUGGUGCAUGGCUGUCGUCAGCUCGUGUCGUGAGAUGUUGGGUUAAGUCCCGCAACGAGCGCAACCCUUGUUCACUGUUGCCAGCACGUUAUGGUGGGGACUCAGUGGAGACCGCCGGGGUCAACUCGGAGGAAGGUGGGGAUGACGUCAAGUCAUCAUGCCCCUUAUGUCCAGGGCUUCACGCAUGCUACAAUGGCUGGUACAGAGAGUGGCGAGCCUGUGAGGGUGAGCGAAUCUCGGAAAGCCGGUCUCAGUUCGGAUUGGGGUCUGCAACUCGACCUCAUGAAGUCGUAGUCGCUAGUAAUCGCAGAUCAGCAACGCUGCGGUGAGUACGUUCCCGGG